rnacentral:rRNA from 1 species
UGGAUUCUGAGACACGAAUCCAGGCCCUACGGGGCGCAGCAGUCGCGAAAACUUCACAAUGGAGGCAACUCCGAUGAGGGAAUUCCUAGUGCCAAUGCAUUUUGUGUUGGCUUUUCUUCAGCGUAGAUAACUGAAGGAAUAAGGGCUGGGUAAGACGGGUGCCAGCCGCCGCGGUAAUACCCGCAGCCCAAGUGGUGGUCGAUAUUAUUGAGUCUAAAACGUUCGUAGCCGGUUCAAUAAAUCUCUGGGUAAAUCGGAGGGCUUAACCUUCCGAAUUCCGGAGAGACUGUUGAACUUGGGACCGGGAGAGGCAAGAGGUACUUCUGGGGUAGGGGUAAAAUCCUGUAAUCCUAGAAGGACCACCGGUGGCGAAGGCGUCUUGCUAGAACGGAUCCGACGGUGAGGGACGAAGCCCUGGGUCGCAAACGGGAUUAGAUACCCCGGUAGUCCAGGGUGUAAACGCUGCAGACUUGGUGUUGGGAACCCUUCGGGGGUGCUCAGUGCCGGAGAGAAGUUGUUAAGUCUGCUACUUGGGGAGUACGUCCGCAAGGAUGAAACUUAAAGGAAUUGGCGGGGGAGCACCGCAACGGGAGGAGCGUGCGGUUUAAUUGGAUUCAACACCGGAAAACUCACCAGGGGAGACUGUUACAUGAAAGCCAGGCUAAUGACCUUGCUCGAUUUUCAGAGAAGUGGUGCAUGGCCGUCGUCAGUUCGUACCGUAAGGCGUUCUCUUAAGUGAGAUAACGAACGAGACCCUCACUAAUAUUUGCUACUCCGUUCUCCGGAACGGAGGCACAUUAUUGGGACCGCUGGCGCUAAGCCAGAGGAAGGAGAGGUCAACGGUAGGUCAGCAUGCCCUGAAUCUCCUGGGCUACACGCGCGCUACAAAGGGCGGGACAAUGGGUUCCGACACCGAAAGGUGAAGGUAAUCUCGAAACCCGUCCGUAGUUCGGAUUGAGGGUUGUAACUCACCCUCAUGAAGCUGGAUUCCGUAGUAAUCGCGAAUCAACAACUCGCGGUGAAUAUGCCCCUGCUCCUUGCACACACCGCCCGUCAAACCAUCCGAGUUGGGUUUCAGUGAAGCUGCCUCUAACUAGGGUUGUUGAACUGAGAUUUAGCAAGGAAGGUUAAGUCGUAACAAGGUAUCU